rnacentral:lncRNA from 1 species
AUGGCUACUCAUCCUGACUUAACUGACAUGUGUGAUGAUAUAGACUUUAUGUUACACCCUGACCGACUUACUGCCAGACAUAGUACUGCUGACCUUGGGCAUAAAGUGCAAAGUCUACAAGCAGAGGUUGAUAUGCUUCAGCAGUGCCUUCAUGACUCUUUGGACCUCCAGAGGAAUAUUUUGGAGCAGUGGGCUCAACAAAAGAGGCCAGUCCCAAAAGUGCCAGCUGCCCAGAUUACUCACCCUUUUCCUCAGGCCUCCUCUACUCCAUAUGUGCCAGGCCUGCCAACCAGGGAAACGGAGCAAUCUUUCUCAGCACCUGGCCCCACACAGCCCGCCAGGGUCCUGUCCCAAUCCCAGUCAGAUUCACUGGAGCUAAUUAACACAACCAGAGUCCUUGCUGCAGCAUUGCACCAAGCUAAAUUAGAGCCCACUGUGUUCGCUAAUGAUGGCAGUCGUCACCCAGAAGAAUGGCUACAGUCUGUUAAUGCUUAUAAAACCUCCUUGGACUUAACAGACGCCCAAAUCCUCAGAGAGCUACCACACUUCCUAGCUAAGGAACCAAGAAAGUGGUUUAGUGUGCUCAUUCCUCAUGUAUCUACAUGGGCUAAGUUUUGUGAACUUUUCAGAACUGUCUUCUUGCCUGCCGACAACCAGGAGCAGAUUUUGAGAGGCAUCCUGGACCGUUUCCAGCACCCCGAGGAGCCUCUGCCAACGUUUGUUGCCCAUAUGCUCAGUGAAUUUAGAAGACUGAGGAACCCACCAUCUGAACAGGAGCAAAUCGAGCUCAUCUGUAAACACGCAGUGGAGAAGUACAGAGUAGCACUGUAUGGAACGCCUGUAAGGUCAGUAAUUGAACUAGUGUUGCGUGCCCACGAGCUGCAUUCUGUUCUUGGCACCAGCCUUUCACAGCCUUCCCGAGCUCAGCUGAAAAACAGAGCUGAGGGAGGACCACGCUGUUUCAAAUGUGCCAUGCCUGGUGUUACAUCUCGUACAUGCCCUAACUGUUCCACUGAUUUUCAGGGAGCUCGACACUCUCCCAGGAUGGCUCCGGAGCUUCCUCAAACGCUAUCUCCUGACCAACAUCCAGUAACUCAGCCUGCGGAUCCAGAUGAAACUGGCAUUGUCUGGGAGACGAGACCAGCUGGCAGGAGGCAGGGAAACUUCAGGGGGGGGAGAGUGUUUCACAGGGGCAACCCUCCCCCCAGCCAAUAA